GGGUGCGUAACACGUAGGAAUCUGCCCGGUAGUGGGGGAUAGCCCGGAGAAAUCCGGAUUAAUACCGCAUACGCCUCAAGAGGGUAAGCAGGGGAUCUUCGGACCUUGCGCUAUCGGAUGAGCCUGCGUCGGAUUAGCUGGUUGGUGGGGUAAAGGCCUACCAAGGCGACGAUCCGUAGCUGGUCUGAGAGGAUGAUCAGCCACACUGGGACUGAGACACGGCCCAGACUCCUACGGGAGGCAGCAGUGGGGAAUAUUGCACAAUGGGCGCAAGCCUGAUGCAGCCAUGCCGCGUGUGUGAAGAAGGCCCUAGGGUUGUAAAGCACUUUCAGCGAGGAGGAAAGGGUGUAGGUUAAUACCCUGCAUCUGUGACGUUACUCGCAGAAGAAGCACCGGCUAACUCCGUGCCAGCAGCCGCGGUAAUACGGAGGGUGCGAGCGUUAAUCGGAAUUACUGGGCGUAAAGCGUGCGUAGGCGGCCUGUUAAGUUGGAUGUGAAAGCCCCGGGCUUAACCUGGGAACGGCAUCCAAAACUGGCAGGCUGGAGUGCG
rnacentral:rRNA from 1 species